AAUUCGUGUUGUGGGCAUUUGCGAAGUAAACUCUUGUAUCGUUCCCAAGCCUUUGAAUAGCAUUCUAAGUCCAUUUGCUGAAAAUAGUAAUCUUAUCCUUUAGCUU
rnacentral:snoRNA from 1 species